GGAUUAGAUACCCUGGUAGUCCACGCCGUAAACGAUGACAACUAGCUGUUGGGAAGCUAUGCUUUUCAGUGGCGCAGCUAACGUCUUAAGUUGUCCGCCUGGGGAGUACGGCCGCAAGGUUAAAACUCAAAUGAAUUGACGGGGACCCGCACAAGCGGUGGAGCAUGUGGUUUAAUUCGAAGCAGCGCGCAGAACCUUACCAACCCUUGACAUCCUGUGCUACAUCCAGAGAUGGAUGGUUCCCUUCGGGGACGCAGUGACAGGUGCUGCAUGGCUGUCGUCAGCUCGUGCCG
rnacentral:rRNA from 1 species